rnacentral:rRNA from 1 species
CAGUAGCCGCGGGAAUACGUAGGUGGCAAGCGUUGUCCGGAAUUAUUGGGCGUAAAGGGCUCGCAGGCGGUUUCUUAAGUCUGAUGUGAAAGCCCCCGGCUCAACCGGGGGGGGUCAUUGGAAACUGGGAAACUUGAGUGCAGAAGAGGAGAGUGGAAUUCCACGUGUAGCGGUGAAAUGCGUAGAGAUGUGGAGGAACACCAGUGGCGAAGGCGACUCUCUGGUCUGUAACUGACGCUGAGGAGCGAAAGCGUGGGGAGCAAACAGGAUUAGAUACCCGGGUAGUCCCUGUCUCUUAUAC